rnacentral:rRNA from 1 species
AUUAGGAAUCUUGUACAAUGGGCGCAAGCCUGAUACAGCGACGCCGCGUGGAGGAGGACGGCCUUCGGGUUGUAAACUCCUUUUGUCAGGGAAGAAACAAAUGACGGUACCUGACGAAUAAGCCCCGGCUAACUCCGUGCCAGCAGCCGCGGUAAUACGGAGUGGGCGAGCGUUGUCCGAAGUUACUGGGCGUAAAGCGCGCGUAGGCGGGGAGGAAAGUCCGCUGUGAAAGCCUGAGGCUCAACCUCAGCGGGUCGGUGGAUACUUCCUCUCUUGAAGGUGCUAGGGGGAGAUGGAAUUACCGGUGUAGCGGUGAAAUGCGUAGAUAUCGGUAGGAACACCAGUGGCGAAGGCGGUCUCCUGGGGCAUUCUUGACGCUGAGGCGCGAAAGCUGGGGGAGCGAACGG